rnacentral:rRNA from 1 species
UACGUAGGCAGCGAGCGUUGUUCGGAGUUACUGGGCGUAAAGGGUGUGUAGGCGGUUGUUUAAGUUUGGUGUGAAAUCUCCCGGCUCAACUGGGAGGGUGCGCCGAAUACUGAAUGACUAGAGUGCGGGAGAGGUGAGUGGAAUUCCUGGUGUAGCGGUGAAAUGCGUAGAUAUCAGGAGGAACACCGGUGGUGUAGACGGCUCACUGGACCGUAACUGACGCUGAGACACGAAAGCGUGGGGAGCAAACAGG